AGCUGCGGCCCGCGUGCCCGGUGCAGGAUCCGGACGCCGCCGCCGCCCAACGCGCCGGAGUCGAGAGAGGGACGCCGCCGUGAUGAGCAAGCGCGGACCCCGAGCCCCGCAACGCGCAGCGGAGACGGCGGGCUGGGAUCCGCGACCCAAUCCCCUACGCCGCUACCGUGAGGAUGGCUAGCAUUUCUUUUCCUCAUUUGCUUUCUUAUUUCUUAUUUUUCUGAUUCUGGUAAUGGGGAUUCAUAUUUUUGUGAUUCUUACUUCCGUGAGGAUGAGGAUCCGGCGGGGAGGAAAGGAAGCUCGCCGCGCCGGACAGCGGGAGCGGCCGUAGUGGCUCCCAGCACCGGCGGACGAGGCCCCGAGGCCUCCUUGCCCGCCGCGGGUGGGCGAGCAACAGCGGAAGGACCUGCAGCUCGCCGCCGCCGCGAGAUCCGGCGGGGAUGACUUUUUGGAGAGCUUUCUCUUUAAGUCCACAAGAUUGAAAUUGGACAGUUUGGAGAGUCUCAUUCAACCUUAAAUCAGCUCCUAGGGUUUAAUUGAUGCAAGUCUUUGAGGCUUUGAGCCAGGGAGGGAGAAGAAAAUAAGAGGGGAGGCCUUUUUUGCCCCCUUUUAUACGAUGUACCAUCAUGUAUGACACUUGUAGCUGCGGAAUCCUGCAGGUGGUGGCAGUUGGGGACUCGAGCGCGCGAGGGAGGCGAAGGGAGCAGAUGCGGAUGGAGCGUGGGGGAUGAAUGUGGUUGUGUAGCAAUAGUUUGGCCUGGAACAAUGUAAUGGCUUUGUAUGUCUGAAAUUUAUAAGUAGCGUUAACACGAGCACACUUAUUAUCACACAUAAAUAUUACAUAUGUUGUUUUUUUUUA